rnacentral:rRNA from 1 species
GAUGAACGCUGGCGGCGUGCCUAAUACAUGCAAGUCGAGCGAACGGACGAGAAGCUUGCUUUUCUGAUGUUAGCGGCGGACGGGUGAGUAACACGUGGAUAACCUACCUAUAAGACUGGGAUAACUUCGGGAAACCGGAGCUAAUACCGGAUAAUAUUUUGAACCGCAUGGUUCAAAAGUGAAAGACGGUCUUGCUGUCACUUAUAGAUGGAUCCGCGCUGCAUUAGCUAGUUGGUAAGGUAACGGCUUACCAAGGCAACGAUGCAUAGCCGACCUGAGAGGGUGAUCGGCCACACUGGAACUGAGACACGGUCCAGACUCCUACGGGAGGCAGCAGUAGGGAAUCUUCCGCAAUGGGCGAAAGCCUGACGGAGCAACGCCGCGUGAGUGAUGAAGGUCUUCGGAUCGUAAAACUCUGUUAUUAGGGAAGAACAUAUGUGUAAGUAACUGUGCACAUCUUGACGGUACCUAAUCAGAAAGCCACGGCUAACUACGUGCCAGCAGCCGCGGUAAUACGUAGGUGGCAAGCGUUAUCCGGAAUUAUUGGGCGUAAAGCGCGCGUAGGCGGUUUUUUAAGUCUGAUGUGAAAGCCCACGGCUCAACCGUGGAGGGUCAUUGGAAACUGGAAAACUUGAGUGCAGAAGAGGAAAGUGGAAUUCCAUGUGUAGCGGUGAAAUGCGCAGAGAUAUGGAGGAACACCAGUGGCGAAGGCGACUUUCUGGUCUGUAACUGACGCUGAUGUGCGAAAGCGUGGGGAUCAAACAGGAUUAGAUACCCUGGUAGUCCACGCCGUAAACGAUGAGUGCUAAGUGUUAGGGGGUUUCCGCCCCUUAGUGCUGCAGCUAACGCAUUAAGCACUCCGCCUGGGGAGUACGACCGCAAGGUUGAAACUCAAAGGAAUUGACGGGGACCCGCACAAGCGGUGGAGCAUGUGGUUUAAUUCGAAGCAACGCGAAGAACCUUACCAAAUCUUGACAUCCUUUGACAACUCUAGAGAUAGAGCCUUCCCCUUCGGGGGACAAAGUGACAGGUGGUGCAUGGUUGUCGUCAGCUCGUGUCGUGAGAUGUUGGGUUAAGUCCCGCAACGAGCGCAACCCUUAAGCUUAGUUGCCAUCAUUAAGUUGGGCACCCUAAGUUGACUGCCGGUGACAAACCGGAGGAAGGUGGGGAUGACGUCAAAUCAUCAUGCCCCUUAUGAUUUGGGCUACACACGUGCUACAAUGGACAAUACAAAGGGCAGCGAAACCGCGAGGUCAAGCAAAUCCCAUAAAGUUGUUCUCAGUUCGGAUUGUAGUCUGCAACUCGACUACAUGAAGCUGGAAUCGCUAGUAAUCGUAGAUCAGCAUGCUACGGUGAAUACGUUCCCGGGUCU